GCCUCGCUCUCGCCCUGUUUGCCUGCGUUGCGCCUCGGCAGUGGACCUAAUGACGGCGGGCGCGGCAGGCGGCUGCUGACGGCAGAGCCCGGGGCGGCGAAGGUGGUGUCGGCAGCUGCCGGCCAUGAAGCCCGGGGCGGGGGAGGCGGGCGCUGCGACGGAUCCGGCCGAGGCAGCGACGUAUCAUGCCGGAGCGACGACGGAUCCGGCCGGGGAGGCUGCGGAUUCGGUCGGAGCGGCAGUGGAUCUGGGAGCGGCCGGAGCUUCCUCACGACAGCGAUCGCGGGCGAAGGUUCCUGUCGGCGACGAGGCCCGGGCCGGCGGGUCCAGGCGGGCCGGCGAUGGAUGUGGGAGCUAGCGGGCAUCGCCUUCCUCUCCGCCUCGCUCCCUCCCUGUCCGGCCGCGGUACGCAUCCUCCGGUCCGCCUCUCCGCGCUUGGAGGAGCUGCUGCACCGGCAGGCGCUGGCCAUGGCCAUCCACCAGCACCUCGACGCCGAGGGCUCCAUGUCGCGCCGCAUCGACGCGGGCGGCUCCAUGUCCCGCCGCAUCGGCCCCGGCUCCACCAGCUCCCGCUGCCGCGACGACCUCCCGGACUCCGUCACGAAUGGCAAGGCAGUGAACAUCGAUCUUUGCAAUAGCUUCUCAGUUGACCAUUACCCUUUCGGACUUCGGGGUCCACAACAAAAUCUGCUUCUGCUAAGCGGGAUUCUAAGCAAGACAAUAGCGAGAUAAAAUUAAUUGAUGAUGGAAGAACAGCAUAGCAUUUACUUAAGUGGAUAAAUAAUCGGAUUAAAUGGUGAUGAGCUUAGCAAGACCAGGCAUGAAGGAAUACAAGUUGGAAAGCAUAUUUCUCCAUCAUGUUUAUGUGUAUGGAGGCUGUCGACAUUGCUCUUAUACAUGUAUAUGUCCUGCCAGAAAGAAUAGAUAUUUACAGUGGCAGAGUUUUGCUAUCAAGAAUCAAACAACAGUUAUGUUCUUCAUUAUGGGCAUCCUGCUGCACCAAAUGAACGGACCCUGAAUGAUGGAGACAUGGCACUAAUGGACAUGGGAGGUGAAUACAAUUACUAUGGAUCUGAGAUAACAUGCUCAUACCCUUUCUCCGCCACCUUGUUAGCCAAAUUUGCCAGUCAGCAUUAAAUCCUACAGUAUAGUACCCGGAGAAAGGAUGGGAUGGGAUGGAGGUUGAAUUAGCUUCAACCAUGUCUUCAUUUUGAAUAUUACAAUGUCAUCUGUUGAAUCUAUCAGGUCUUCUAAUUCUACACCUAGGAGGGCUGAGUUACAUGUAGUACUCGUGAGAAUUAUGGCCUUCUAAACCAUUAUACAAAACACCAUGUCACUGGAAAUGCAUUUCGCCAUGUUUGCAGUGAAAUGUAUGAGAAUGCGUUGAAUGGAUGAUAUGGAUCAAUACCAACAAUUACUUAUUGUACAUACUUUAUAAACUAAAAAUAACAGAAUUUUCUUUUAAUGGCUCUAUAUCUAUUUCUUUUUAUGUCCACUCACCAACAAAUGUAUUAAUGCUAUGUGUUUUGUGGAAGUAACCAAUUUUUCUUUCAUUU